rnacentral:rRNA from 1 species
CCUACGGGAGGCAGCAGUAGGGAAUCUUUCACAAUGGGCGAAAGCCUGAUGGAGCAACGCCGCGUGCAGGAUGAAGGCCUUCGGGUUGUAAACUGCUUUUAUAAGCGAGAAAUAUGAUGGUAACUUAUGAAUAAGGAUCGGCUAACUACGUGCCAGCAGCCGCGGUCAUACGUAGGAUCCGAGCAUUAUCCGGAGUGACUGGGUGUAAAGAGUUGCGUAGGUGGCAUAAUAAGUAGCUAGUGAAAUCUGGUGGCUCAACCAUUCAGACUAUUAGCUAAACUGUUAAGCUCGAGACCGUUAGAGGUAAAUGGAAUUUCUAGUGUAGGAGUGAAAUCCGUAGAUAUUAGAAGGAACACCGAUAGCGUAGGCAGGUUGCUGGGACGGUUCUGACACUAAGGCACGAAAGCGUAGGGAGCAAACGGGAUUAGAUACCCCAGUAGUC